rnacentral:rRNA from 1 species
UACGUAGGGGGCUAGCGUUGUCCGGAUUUAUUGGGCGUAAAGAGCGUGUAGGCGGCCAGGUAGGUCCGUUGUGAAAACUCGAGGCUCAACCUCGAGACGUCGGCGGAAACCCCCUGGCUAGAGUCCGGAAGAGGAGAGUGGAAUUCCCGGUGUAGCGGUGAAAUGCGCAGAUAUCGGGAAGAACACCUAUGGCGAAGGCAGCUCUCUGGGACGGUACUGACGCUGAGACGCGAAAGCGUGGGGAGCGAACAGG